UACGAAGGGGGCUAGCGUUGCUCGGAAUCACUGGGCGUAAAGCGCACGUAGGCGGACUCUUAAGUCGGUGGUGAAAUCCUGGAGCUCAACUCCAGAACUGCCUUUGAUACUGAUAGUCUUGAGUAUGGGAGAGGUGAGUGGAACUGCGAGUGUAGAGGUGAAAUUCGUAGAUAUUCGCAAGAACACCAGUGGCGAAGGCGGCUCACUGGCCCAUUACUGACGCUGAGGCACGAAAGCGUGGGGAGCAAACAGG
rnacentral:rRNA from 1 species